rnacentral:rRNA from 1 species
UGAGUAACGCGUGAGCAACCUGUCCUACAGGGGAUAACACAGCGAAAGUUGUACUAAUACCGCAUAAGACCACGGGAGGACAGUCCUUCAGGGGUCAAAGGAGGAAUCCGGUAAGGGGUGGGCUCGCGUCCGGAUUACGAUAGUUGGUGAGGUAACGGCCCGACCAAGUCGACGAUCGGUAGCCGACCUGAGAGGGUGAUCGGCCACAUUGGGACUGAGACACGGCCCAAACUCCUACGGGAGGCAGCAGUGGGGAAUAUUGGGCAAUGGGGGGAAAAAACCCCUGACCCAGCAACGCCGCGUGAGGGAAGAAGGUUUUCGGAUUCGUUAAACCUCUGUCCUUGGUGAAGAGUUGAGAGACGGUAGCCAAGGAGGAAGCCCCGGCUAACUACGUGCCAGCCGCAGC